AAGAGAAGCUCUGUCUUCUUCUGAACAGAUUGGGGAAGGAGACAGUGCUGCUACUGUUACACUUUCUGAGAACUGUCUCAGGAAUGAAAAUAUCAGAACAAGGUUGAAAACCCAUGUGAAAAAAUGCAUUUUGGAAGGUGGGACUUGAUCAGAUCAGGGUCUGCUGUGAAGUUGGGAUCUGCCAAGAGAAUUUUGAGUAAGUAAAAGAAGAACUUUAUAAAGAAAAUAAAAGAUGAACUAUAUUGUUAGAAGAAAAAAAGGAUAGAAAAAGUACCACUCCAGCAUUGGUUUUUCUGUUCUUUCACGUAGACAGGAAGGUAUGGAUUUGAUGAUGACAAGUGAAGAGAAGGGUGUCUGAAAAUUAUGACUUUGUUGGACAUGUAAAUAUUACAUGCUGGAUUGAGAAAGCAUUCUCUUAUUUAUAGUUGGUUUUGCAGAAGAGAAAAGCUUGUUGCUGAAAAGAAAAGGAAAUUUUUAGAUGAAGCAUUGGGAUCAAUUUAAAGAAGUUCACAUGGGAGCUUGUGACCGUUUGAUGAAUCACGGGGUUCCUUGGAGGCUUG
rnacentral:lncRNA from 1 species